AAAUCUCAGAGGAGAUAGGGCUAUGCUACAGGAAGAGCUUCCAAGAAGACUGAUGCUGCAAUGAUCUGCAAUAGAAGCAAUAGGCACAGAAGAGGGAAAGGAUCAUACUGGCAGACAACAAAGAGGUUGCAUAGAUGGCUACUUAACCAGUGACACCUUGAACAUUCUACACCCAGAUGCUUUUGGAGCUGGGCUUUGCAGGGCUGAAGUGGGUAAAACCAACAGCAAGUACUGUAUCAGUGUAUAUCACUUGGGCCUUCAUUUGAAAGCACUCUCACUCUGUGAUUUACCAUGCUGAAAGUUCUUCGUUUAAUCAGGGAACAAGUGUGGUAGUUAGGUCCUAUGCAGCUUAUGAACAAUCAUUUUUAGAGUAUUUGUCUAUUUUAUGCCAGGCCCCAUACAUAACUCAAUCCUCAAUGGAAGACAGGGAGGGAAGGAAAAAGAGAGAGUCUGUUUAGCCAGCUUAGGAUCUGACGGCCUUUAUGAAGCUACCUGUCACUACAAUAAUAAGUCAUGGGUGAGUGAGUACUUUUCUCUUAUCAGUAACAAAACUCUAAUAAGGAAAAAGACUACUGGUUAAGUUUUUGGGAGACCGUGGAACUUAACAGUGUAUUGAUCACAGGACAUAGUCUUUAUACUUGCGUUUACUGCUUUUUCUAUAAGCUACACAUUAAAACAGUAAAUAAAUUUGAAAAACAGCUUCAAUACUCUCUUUUCACUUAUUCCUAUUAUAUUUAUCUUUAAAUAGUUCAGAGUACAUAGACCCUCCAUGGUCAGAUUUGAGGUGUUGCGUGUAUGCAUGUAAGUUUACCCAAAAGAGCUAUAUGGAAUGUAUUCUUAAUGAUUUGGAGCAUAAGAAAUGCAAAUUCUUAAGAACUAAGGCAUCAAAUCAAACUAUAACAAAACACUUCCUAGCAAGAUGACAGAGUGCUAUAUAUAAAUCAUAAAGCAGAUUAAACCAUAUACUUAUUAUGACCCUUUAACAAAGUUAGGUUUCUGGAAAAUGAAAUCAGUGUCACAGAAACACUUUUUUUUUUGGUCAGUUGUGGAACUUGAACUCUGGGGCCUGGGCACUGUCCCUGAACUCUUCAGCUCAAAGCUAGUGCUACCACUUUGGACCACAGCGCCACUUUUAGU